rnacentral:rRNA from 1 species
AGGAUCAAGCGUCUGAAGGGCAUCUGGUGGAUGCCUUGGCACUGAGAGGCGAUGAAGGACGCAGCACGUUGCGAUAAGCCAUGGGGAGCCGCGAGCAGGCUUUGAUCCGUGGAUUUCCGAAUGGGGCAACCCACCGCUUAACGCGGUAUCCCACGCUGAAUCCAUAGGCGUGGGAGGCGAACCCGGCGAACUGAAACAUCUAAGUAGCCGGAGGAAAGGACAUCAACCGAGACUCCGCUAGUAGUGGCGAGCGAACGCGGACCAGGCCAGUGGUUGGACCGACAUAACCGGAAGCGUCUGGAAAGGCGCACCAGAGCGGGUGAUAGUCCCGUACGGGUAAACCAGGUUCAAUCCUCGAGUAGGGCGGGGCACGUGAAACCCUGUCCGAACAUGGGGGGACCACCCUCCAAGCCUAAGUACUCCUCAGUGACCGAUAGUGCACCAGUACCGUGAGGGAAAGGUGAAAAGCACCCCGACGAGGGGAGUGAAACAGUUCCUGAAACCGGAUGCCUACAAGCAGUCGGAGCCGCCUCGCGCGGUGACGGCGUACCUUUUGUAUAAUGGGUCAGCGACUUACAGUAAGCAGCGAGCUUAAGGCGGUAGCCGGAGGCGCAGCGAAAGCGAGUCUGAACAGGGCGCGUGAGUUGCUUGCUGUAGACCCGAAACCCGGUGAUCUAGCCAUGGACAGGUUGAAGGUGCGGUAACACGCACUGGAGGACCGAACCCACGCCUGUUGAAAAAGUCGGGGAUGAUCUGUGGCUAGGGGUGAAAGGCCAAUCAAACCGGGAAAUAGCUGGUUCUCCGCGAAAGCUAUUUAGGUAGCGCGUCGGGCGAUUGCCCACGGGGGUAGAGCACUGGAUGGGCUAGGGGGCCUCGCGGCUUACCAAACCUAACCAAACUCCGAAUACCGUGGAGCACAGCCCGGCAGACAGACGGUGGGUGCUAAGGUCCAUCGUCGAGAGGGAAACAGCCCAGACCGCCAGCUAAGGUCCCCAAAUCACGGCUAAGUGGGAAAGGAUGUGGGAAGGCCAUGACAACCAGGAGGUUGGCUUAGAAGCAGCCAUCCUUUAAAGAAAGCGUAAUAGCUCACUGGUCUAGUUAAGCCGGCCUGCGCCGAAAAUGUAUCGGGGCUCAAGCCGUGUACCGAAGCUGCGGAUGUGAUCUCUGAUCACGUGGUAGCGGAGCGUUCCGUAAGCCUGCGAAGGGUCCCCGCGAGGGUGCCUGGAGGUAUCGGAAGUGAGAAUGCUGACAUGAGUAGCGACAAACAGUGUGAGAAACACUGUCGCCGAAAGUCCAAGGGUUCCUGCGCAAGGUUAAUCCACGCAGGGUGAGCCGGCCCCUAAGGCGAGGCCGAAAGGCGUAGUCGAUGGGAACCACGUUAAUA